rnacentral:rRNA from 1 species
UACGAAGGUGGCUAGCGUUGCUCGGAAUCACUGGGCGUAAAGCGCACGUAGGCGGCUUUUUAAGUCAGGGGUGAAAUCCUGGAGCUCAACUCCAGAACUGCCUUUGAUACUGGGAAGCUUGAGUCCGGAAGAGGUGAGUGGAACUCCGAGUGUAGAGGUGAAAUUCGUAGAUAUUCGGAAGAACACCAGUGGCGAAGGCGGCUCACUGGUCCGGUACUGACGCUGAGGUGCGAAAGCGUGGGGAGCAAACAGG